CAGUGUCGGCGCCUGUGAUGAGGCAAGCUACGAACUCCUUGCUUCUCCAUAACAAAACACACUUCUCUGUAAGAGUCAGGACUUUCAACAGCAAAUACCACCCCUUGAUACCAAAGCUCUUCUUCUCAGGGGCAGGUUGCUUGAGCUACCAACUACUGCUCUAAAGUGACAGAGGAGCACAGAGUGCUGGUUUCCCCAGGGCUGAGGAUGCCACGCAGGAUACCAGCGAAUCCAACCUCAUCUCACCAAAAGCUGCUGAGCUCCAGCCAUGCCUGGCUGUCCUUUCUGAUCCUGCCACUUGGGCUUGGGGCAUUCGAAAGGUGCUUUGUACAGCUGCAUCUAUUCUCCCAGCAUCGAUUUCCACUGCUACUCAGACACCUUCAUCUCCUCUUCCUUUUUAAUGUCCUUAAGAACUGAAGAAAUCCAAGAGCAGGCACCGAGGGAAGCCCAGGUUUGUGCUCAGCAGCAGCCGCUGCCUGCACAAGGAGGGCUGGCACAACCUCUUGCACAAACCAGCGUGGCACCAAGAGCAGCACCUGGGGAAUGCACUCAGCCUGUUUCCUUCAGAAACUCGGUCUAUAACACUUUCUGACACCUUUGAAUCAGCCUUUGCAGUGUAAAGGCUGGACCUGCUUAGGGACAUGGUUUAGUGGGUAACAUUGGUGAUGGUUGGACCAGAUGAUCUUGAAGGGCUUUUCCAACCUUAAUUCUAUGUACAAAUUUUGCUUGCAGCAUGCACACAUGUGCAAAAGUCCCUCUCUGCCAGCUCCAUGAAAGUCUGUUUUUAUGAGGCCUAGGCAGCGAUCUGGGGCUAGCACCUUGUCUAGCCAG